UACGUAGGGUGCAAGCGUUGUCCGGAAUUAUUGGGCGUAAAGAGCUCGUAGGCGGUCUGUUACGUCGGCUGUGAAAACCUGGGGCUCAACCCCCGGGCCUGCAGCCGAUACGGGCAGACUAGAAUUCGGUAGGGGAGACUGGAAUUCCUGGUGUAGCGGUGAAAUGCGCAGAUAUCAGGAGGAACACCGGUGGCGAAGGCGGGUCUCUGGGCCGAUAUUGACGCUGAGGAGCGAAAGCGUGGGGAGCGAACAGG
rnacentral:rRNA from 1 species